GAUUUUAGUGCCCAAAUUUGAAAUAAUUUGAAUAUUUUAAUCCAAAAUGUCACAUACUGCAGCUUGAAAUAAUAUUUUGGAACGUCCUGUAUCGGCGGGACAAC
rnacentral:snRNA from 13 species